rnacentral:rRNA from 1 species
AUUGAACGCUGGCGGCAUGCUUUACACAUGCAAGUCGGACGGCAGCACAGAGAAGUUUGCUUCUUGGGUGGCGAGUGGAGAACGGGUGUGUAAUAUAUCGGAACGUACCGUGUAAUGGGGGCUAACUAAUCGAAAGAUUAGUUAAUACCGCAUAUUCUCUGAGGAGGAAAGCAGGGGACUUUAGGGCCUUGUGUUAUUAGAGCGGCCGAUAUCCGAUUUGCUAGUUGGUGGGGUAAAGGCCUACCAAGGCGACGAUCAGUAUCGGGUCUGAAAGGAUGAUCCGCCACACUGGGACUGAGACACGGCCCAGACUCCUACGGGAGGCAGCAGUGGGAAAUUUUGGACAAUGGGCGCAAGCCUGAUCCAGCCAUGCCGCGUGUCUGAAGAAGGCCUUCGGGUUGUAAAGUACUUUUGUCAGGGAAGAAAAGGCUGUUGCUAAUACCGACAGCUGAUGACGGUACCUAAAGAGUAAGCACCGGCUAACUACGUG